rnacentral:tRNA from 1 species
GCAGUGGUGGUUCCGUAGCAGAAUUCUUAACUUCCAUGCAGGAGACCUAGGUUCAAGUCCUGGCCAGUGCA